ensembl:misc_RNA 7SK 7SK RNA
GUGUGUGAGGCUAAUUUGGCUCUGACAUCUGUCAUACCAUGAAUAGUCAGGUUUGACUCAGAUCAUCUGGAUGGCUAGGGAGGUGUCCACUUCCUCCCUUGUCUCUCCAUCUGCAUCCUUUCUGAAACCGCGUGCUUGGUUGAAAAGUACACCCUUCUCUGAAUUGAGGAAGACUGCUCUUUGGUUAUGUAGGUAUACACGCAGCUGAGCUCCUGACCAGAACCUCCAAACAAGCACUACAUAAAGAAAGGAAAGCCUUUAAAACAAAUAGUACAGAAGCAGUUGC